rnacentral:rRNA from 1 species
UACGGAGGGUGCGAGCGUUGUCCGGAAUCACUGGGCGUAAAGGGCGCGUAGGCGGCGCGGGAAGUCCGUGGUGAAAGCCCGAGGCUCAACUUCGGGUCGGCCAUGGAUACUCCUGGGCUUGAGCACUGUAGAGGCAGGUGGAAUUCCGGGUGUAGCGGUGGAAUGCGUAGAGAUCUGGAAGAACACCGGUGGCGAAGGCGGUGGUCUGGGCCGUUACUGACGCUGAGGAGCGAAAGCCAGGGGAGCGAACGGG